rnacentral:rRNA from 1 species
UACAGAGGUCUCAAGCGUUGUUCGGAUUCAUUGGGCGUAAAGGGUGCGUAGGCGGCGCGGUAAGUCGGGUGUGAAAUCUCGGAGCUUAACUCCGAAACUGCAUUCGAUACUGCCGUGCUUGAGGACUGGAGAGGAGACUGGAAUUUACGGUGUAGCGGUGAAAUGCGUAGAUAUCGUAAGGAAGACCAGUGGCGAAGGCGGGUUGCUGGGCUGACACUGACGCUGAAGCGCGAAAGCUAGGGGAGCGAACGGG